UAUAAAAAACUGAACUCAAAGCAGAAUGGAAAAAUAACAUCUCACAUCCAAAUACCACUAACUGUAAAAAGCAUCAGAAAAAAUGAAUUAUGCCUGGAGAAAAGGUUCUGCCAGAGUCUUUCAUUGGUGAUAUAGAAAGAUUGUUCAAAUAAAACACACACAGCAAUUGUGUGUGUGUGUCUGUGCACACACUAUAGAUCCAACAAAUCCUAAAGAGAAGUAGACAUAAGUAGAACACUCCUUAUCCUUCAUACCAAGGUGAUCUCACUAAGCUUCAGAUUACAUCCAAACCAGGAGAACAGCUUUAAUGGGAGUCAUUCCCUAAACCAUCUAAUGAGAGUGAAACAAAGAUGAUGAUCAAGAUUAUGACCCAUCAGAAGCCUUACUGUGAAUUGCAUGCAGAAACUUCUCUUUCAUGACGUUCCCCACCCCCCCACCCCGCAGUGAAAUAUACAGACUACCAUGAAGAUACACUGAAAUUUCUAACAUCCUGAAGGAGCAUGAGAUCCCAUUCAGCUGCAAAUCUUCCUGUCAUGGGAUUUGCUUGCCAGCUCUAAUUUUGAGUGGACACAUUAAACACAAUGGUGAAAAUAUCAAUGAAAAAAAUCUACUCUCCAUAC